GAUGAAGAACGCAGCGAAAUGCGAUAAGUAAUGUGAAUUGCAGAAUUCAGUGAAUCAUCGAAUCUUUGAACGCACAUUGCGCCCGCCAGUAUUCUGGCGGGCAUGCCUGUUCGAGCGUCAUUUCAACCAUCAAGCCCCAGGCUUGUGUUGGGGACCUGCGGCUGCCGCAGGCCCUGAAAACCAGUGGCGGGCUCGCUGUCACACCGGGCGUAGUAGAUUUUAUCUCGCUCAGGGCGUGCUGCGGGUUCCGGCCGUUAAAAAGCCUUUUUUACCCAAGGUUGACCUCGGAUCAGGUAGGAAGACCCGCUGAACUUAAGCAUAUCAAUAAGCAGAGGA
rnacentral:misc_RNA from 1 species